GCCUGGCCGGCUCAGAAGGUAGAGCACAUGACUCUUGAUCUUGAGGUUGUGAGUUCGAGCCCACGUUGGGUC
rnacentral:tRNA from 1 species